AAUUCGAAGCAACGCGAAGAACCUUACAGGGCUUGACAUCCCUUGAAGCAGCUAGAGAUAGCUGUGUCCUUCGGGACAAGGAGACAGGUGGUGCAUGGUUGUCGUCAGCUCGUGUCGUGAGAUGUUGGGUUAAGUCCCGCAACGAGCGCAACCCUCGACCUUAGUUGCCAGCAUUCAGUUGGGCACUCUAAGGUAACUGCCGGCUAAAAGUCGGAGGAAGGUGGGGAUGACGUCAAAUCAUCAUGCCCCUUAUGACCUGGGCUACACACGUGCUACAAUGGGCGGUACAAAGGGUCGCGAACCCGCGAGGGGGAGCCAAUCCCAAAAAGCCGCUCUCAGUUCGGAUUGCAGGCUGCAACUCGCCUGCAUGAAGCCGGAAUCGCUAGUAAUCGCGGAUCAGCAUGCCGCGGUCCGAAUACGUUCCGGCCUU
rnacentral:rRNA from 1 species